rnacentral:rRNA from 1 species
CCUACGGGUGGCAGCAGUGGGGAAUAUUGGACAAUGGGGGCAACCCUGAUCCAGCCAUGCCGCGUGUGUGAAGAAGGCCCUCGGGUUGUAAAGCACUUUCAGUGAGGAAGAACGCCUGGUGGUUAAUACCCAUCAGGAAAGACAUCACUCACAGAAGAAGCACCGGCUAACUCCGUGCCAGCAGCCGCGGUAAUACGGAGGGUGCGAGCGUUAAUCGGAAUUACUGGGCGUAAAGCGCGUGUAGGUGGCUUGAUAAGCCGGUUGUGAAAGCCCCGGGCUCAACCUGGGAACGGCAUCCGGAACUGUCAAGCUAGAGUGCAGGAGAGGAAGGUAGAAUUCCCGGUGUAGCGGUGAAAUGCGUAGAGAUCGGGAGGAAUACCAGUGGCGAAGGCGGCCUUCUGGACUGACACUGACACUGAGGUGCGAAAGCGUGGGUAGCAAACAGGAUUAGAUACCCUAGUAGUC